GACGAACGCUGGCGGCGUGCUUAACACAUGCAAGUCGAACGGAAAGGCCCUGCUUUUGUGGGGUGCUCGAGUGGCGAACGGGGGAGUAACACGUGAGUAACCUGCCCUUGACUUUGGGAUAACUUCAGGAAACUGGGGCUAAUACCGGAUAGGAGCUCCUGCUGCAUGGUGGGGGUUGGAAAGUUUCGGCGGUUGGGGCUGGACUCGCGGCUUAUCAGCUUGUUGGUGGGGUAGUGGCUUACCAAGGCUUUGACGGGUAGCCGGCCCGAGAGGGUGACCGGCCACAUUGGGCCUGCGAUACGGCCCAGACUCCUACGGGAGGCAGCAGUGGGGAAUAUUGCACAGUGGGCCGAAGCCUGAUGCAGCAACGCCGCGUGCGGGAUGACGGCCUUCUGGUUGUAAACCGCUUUCGCCUGUGACGAAGCGUUAGUGACGGUAAUGGGUAAAGAAGCACCGGCUAACUACGUG
rnacentral:rRNA from 1 species